CACACACACACACACCAACCUGCUCUCUGGCUGUUCCAACGUGCGUGACUAACCACUUUGUUUUUUCUUUUCCUUCUUGUUGCUGUUUUCAGUUUUACAAGGUAUGUUGAAGCGUGGCCCAAUUUUCUGCUACGACCUCCAAGUUGUUGGGCUGCAGUCCAACAUCCAAGAGCUGGAACGCUUCUCGCACACGUGCACACGCCCAGGGCUCGUGCACACGCCCCAUUAUAAGGGUUCAUACUGUAUGUGUUUCAUAGAUGUGUACAGGUUUGAGGGAAAAGCUGUACUUGUACAGAAAGUGUUGGAUGUUUUUACAGACACUGAAGCUCAGAGGGGACAGUUUGUGACACAGUGUGGUGCCUGGUUUCACUCAUGAAUACCUGUAAACAGCUCAACACCUGCAGGAGCAUCUGAUUCACAAUGUGAACCACAACAUGUCUACAAAGGUCUUGGUUCUGUUUGAAGUGGAUGGGUUUGGUGGACCAGGUCUUGGUUCUGUUUGGACAGUGAGUGUCUGCAGCUGACUCCAGCUCCUCCUCACGAUGACAUCAUCCUUCAGAUUAGAUGAAGCUGUUGCUGCUUCAGAGUGAUGAAGAUGAGCUCCACCUGUUGUGGUCUGGACACCAGCUUUAGUCCCAGCUGCACCUCUAACCUGACCUACGACCCAACAACCUCUGAUCUCUCACCAGUUUAUGAACGCCAGGACCUGGAACAAACAAAACCAACCAGGGUGGCCCACGGGCCUGACCUGGACCCUGAACCUCACCACCCUUACAAACAGUUUUCUGACCCCCCACCACCCGCGCCCCCGCUCUGAAGGCGUGAGCACGGGGAGAGUGGAGCCGGGCCGGGCCGGGCCGGGUCCAGCCGGGCCGGCACUCCUGCAGUCCUAAGAGGUGAUGAGGCCCAUAAAUCUACAGUGAGGGGUGGUCUCUGAGGCUUCCCCAGUCUUGGCAGGACCCCCGGGCACAGAUUGGAAACAGACGUGUUUGGAGUUUUUCUCGGAGUUCCUACUGUUCAGCUGUGAUUUACAAGAGUGUGAGAUAUGGAAACCUCUCACGCAACUCCAGACACGGUCUGAGUGGAAGCACAUUGUGCAACAGACCACAGAGGACAGACCUGUCAGGUCCUGCUCCCCAGCCUGGACCAUGAGCCGAGACCUUCGUCUUCUGAGACCCCUGCAGUCAGAACCACAGAGACUGAGCUACACCUGUUCAUCCAUCGUGCUCUCAUGGCAUGACUCAUCAAAUUCUAACAUGACUCAGAUUACUCUAACGUUAUUCAGCUAGCAUGACUCAGAUACUCACUUCAGUUCACCUUUCAUGGUCCCCCCAAGGAGGGAAAUAUGAUUUGCAGCCAGGCAUUUCCAACACACAACACAACAUAUAACACACAGACAAUGUCGAAGCAUGGAGCAGCAAAUUAUAAAGUUAAAAAUAUAAAAACCUGAUUACUCUGGGUACAAAGGAGUUCCAGCAUCUGUUCCUUUUAAUCCUGGAGAGCCUAAAGCUCCGGCCAGAGAGAAGAAGCUGGAAGUCUGUGUUUGAAGGGUGUCUGAGCAGUGUUAGAUAGGCUUUGAUUUUUGGCCAAUACAACAAAUAAAAAUAUCGUUAAGGGGGGAUUGGGUUACCCCAAUUCUCUUGUUUGCCACAAUAACAAUUUUGUUUAAGCAGUUUUUGUUCUGAACACUUASAUUUCCAAACCAAGCAACUAUARAAAAAGUUAAAACAGA